rnacentral:lncRNA from 1 species
AUGGCAGGGGAUGCUCUGGGGGCCGCCGUCCAGGGACUGCCCCAAGUCGGGGUCCGGAGGCACAAGGAGGGAGAGGGGACAGUGGGAGCCCUGAGGGCUUCAGUGCCCAGGGACGUGGCCUUGGCUGUCCAGAGGCCGCUGGCCCGCGUCCACCUCCAGGGCUGCCCCCCAGCUGCAGGGCUGAAGCCGGAUGGGCCCCGUAACCACCUGGCAGCACCUGAAGACAUGUGGAUGACACACAUGUUGGGUGUCUGCAUGAACAUGUGUGUUGGGGUGUGGGAUGUCUGUGUGGAUGACACGCAUGUUGGGGUGGCAGUAUUUGUGUGGAUAACACAUGUGUUGGGUGUCUGCAUGAAUGACAUGUGUGUUGGGGUGUGGGAUGUCUGUGUGGACAACACACGUGUUGGGGUGAUGCUGGCUCCUGCCGGUCCCACUGGUCCCACCGGGCAGCCCCCUGCCUGGGUCCACACAGCCCUGAGAGCCUCAGAGGGAAGAGCCAGGUGAGCCGAGCAGCCGCGCUGGGACUCUCACCAAGACUGGUUUGUGCACCGAACCCCACAAAACGGGGAAUCUGUGCAGACCACAGGAGAACAUGCCAUGAGGGCUGUCACCCACCGGCCGUGGUCGUGACCGCAGGUCCCUGGGGAGAAGCCAGCAGAGCCGUGGUGGACACGUGUCCAGUGAUGGCUCUCACAGAACACCAAGGAGAGGGCCGUGCAGGUGAGGUGUGGAGGCUCAGCCACAGGACCUCGCACCCACACCCAGGGCCUGGCGGGGCCAGAGCAGCUCCUGGUCCAGCUCCUGCUCACCCAGGAGGCAGUGGAGGACGGGCCAGCUGCCUGGGCCCCUGCACCUGCGUGGGAGACCCAGAUGGGGCUCCUGGCUCCCGGCUUCAGCCUGGCCCAGCGCUGGCCGUUGUGGGCACUGGGGAGGGAACCAGCGGACGGAAGACCUCUCCCCCGACGUCUUUCUGUCUGCAUCUCUGUACUUUUCCGGCUGCGAACCGGGUGACCCGUGACGAGCUUACAGAAAUGUGUGCGUAGGGUCCUGCCACCCCACACCUGCCGUCCACAUAGGUCCCAUGGCCAGGCUGAAGCCAGGAGCUGGGAGCUGCAUCCGGGCCCCCCACAGGGGCGGCAGGGGCCCAAACACGUCAGCCAUCAGCAGGGAGCUGGAUCGGAAGUGGAGCAGCCGGGUCUUGAACUCGAGUGUGAUGCAGGAGGUGGGCAUUGCAAGCCGGGGCUCGACCCGCAGGGCCUUGAUGGCCCCACCUCGCUCCCUUCCUGAGGGGCUUCCCUCUCCCAGCGUGGUGAUGGGGGGGUGGUCCCGAGAGGAGCUGGACAUCAGUGGGAGGAGGCCUGAGCCUCUGCUCUAUGGGCAGCUGUGAGGCCACGGCCGUGUCCAGCAGGGACUCCCGGCUGCGCAAGGCCACCUGCCUGAGCGCGCUUGGGGCGGGCCCACCAGGCUGGUGGGAGUCUCCGGUCCACACCCAUGUGUGGCCAGG